UAAAGUGCUGCAAAUUGAAGUGUUUGAAUGCUAUAAAUUGAAGUGUUUAAAUGCUGUAAAUUGAAGUGCUUAAAUGUUGCAAAUUGAAGUGUUUAGUUGCUGGACAUUGAGAUGUUUUAUCGCUGUAAUUGAGGUGUAUAAAUGUUGUUAAUUGAGAUGCUAAAGUGCUGCAAAUUGAAGUGCUUAAAUGCUGUAAAUUGAAGUGUUAAAGUGCUGCAAAUUGAAGUGUUUGAAUGCUGUAAGUUGAAGUGUUUAAAUGCUGUAAAUUGAUGUGCUUAAAUGUUGCAAAUUGAAGUGUUUAAGUACUGCAAAUUGAAGUUUUUAGUUGUUGGACAUUGAGAUGUUUUAUCGCUGUAAUUGAGGUGUAUAAAUGUUGUUAAUUGAGAUGUAAAAGUGCUGCAAAUUGAAGUGCUUAAAUGCUGUAAAUUGAAGUGUUAAAGUGCUGCAAAUUGAAGUGUUUGAAUGCUGCAAAUUGAAGUGUUUAAAUGCUGUAAAUUGAAGUGCUUAAAUGUUGCAAAUUGAAGUGUUUAAGUACUGCAAAUUGAAGUGUUUAGUCGCUGGACAUUGAGAUGUUUUAUCGCUAUAAUUGAGGUGUUUAAAUGUUGUUAAUUGAGAUGUUAAAGUGCUGCAAAUUGAAGUGUUAAAGUGCUGCAAAUUGAAGUGUUUGAAUGCUGCAAAUUGAAGUGUUUAAAUGCUGUAAAUUGAAGUGCUUAAAUGUUGCAAAUUGAAGUGUUUAAGUAUUGCAAAUUGAAGUGUUUAGUUGCUGGACAUUGAGAUGUUUUAUCGCUAUAAUUGAGGUGUUUAAAUGUUGUUAAUUGAGAUGUUAAAGUGCUGCAAAUUGAAGUGUUAAAGUGCUGCAAAUUGAAGUGUUUGAAUGCUGCAAAUUGAAGUGUUUCUAUUUUGGGUUUUUUAACUUGUGUGAUUAUUUGUGUUUCUAG
rnacentral:lncRNA from 1 species